rnacentral:rRNA from 1 species
UUGAUCCUGGCUCAGAAUCAACGCUGGCGGCGUGCCUAACACAUGCAAGUCGAACGCGAAAGCCCCGCAAGGGGUUAGUAGAGUGGCAAACGGGUGAGUUACACGUGGGUGACCUGCCUUCGAGUGGGGGAUAACGUCCCGAAAGGGACUCUAAUACCGCAUGACAUCCUGCUUUUGGAAAAGCGGAGAUCAAAGCUGGUGAUCGCAAGACCUGGCGCUUGAAGAGGGGCCCGCGCCUGAUUAGCUAGUUGGUGGGGUAACGGCCUACCAAGGCGACGAUCAGUAUCCGGCCUGAGAGGUCGGACGGACACACUGGGACUGAGACACGGCCCAGACUCCUACGGGAGGCUGCAGUGGGGAAUUGUUCGCAAUGGGCGCAAGCCUGACGACGCAACGCCGUGUGGAGGACGAAGAUCUUCGGGUCGUAAGCUCCUGUCGAGUGGGAAGAAUGCUUCGGGGGUGAAUACCCUUCGGAAUUGACGGUACCACUAAAGGAAGCUCCGGCUAACUCCGUGCCAGCAGCCGCGGUAAUAAGGU